CCUGCCCCUAGAGGCAUUGCAGAUGUGACUGCUAUGUCACAUGUGCAUCAGUAGGUGGCAGAGAGGAGAGAGGCUAUAUCUACAUUCAGUGUUCUGACCUAUGAACAUCUGAAUGAAUAGUAGCCUAACAUU